GCUAACUCACCAACAGAGCUGCGAGCUUGCGGGAAAUAUUGUGAUUAACAGAACACAGACUGGGACAAGAGGUGUUUCCCAAGGGCACACUGACCCCAGUGUCUUCACUGGGAAGAGGAAACUGUGGGCCUCAGGUUGGCCAGUCAUACUUGACCAGGGCACAGGGGGAUGGCCAUGGAACACUGAUGUGUGAGAUCCUUUUCCUGAGAAGGGGAGUCUGGAAGCUCCAGAUCAGUGUCCUGUGUUUCUCGCAGUUCUUCAGCAAGGUUCCUCAUUAGGCCACAUUCAACCCUGGCAUCCCAGCCACCCAUCUCCUGCAGGACAGCCAGGGUUUAGUUCGAAGGUCAGUGAUGAUAUGAAAAAAGCACGCAGUGAAAAUACUCUGGAAAAUUUCCAACGAAUACAGCUUUGCAUCUAUAGGCCGACGCUGAACUACGUACAACUGGGUACAGGGAGUGACGGAGAGCAAAACCAGCUAAGGUAUGGACAGCUCCAGAUGUGUUAAAUCAUUUAAUUCUCCAAGCCAUUCUGUGAAGAAUGUGAUAUGACUCUGCCCAUCAUAAAGUUUAAGAAACUGAGGCAUGCGAAAGUUAAGAAAGCUUCUCAAGGUCACAUGACUGGAAAGUGACUGACAGAGCCCUGGCAGCCUGUCUCUGGGCUGCUCUGGGGAGUAGACAAUUGUGUAUGCUGGGGAACCAUCGUGUAACCCCCCUCUCAGCAACCCUCAGCGAGCAAGGCCUCUGCUGCCCAGGAUGGCAACACUGUCAGGGUUGGGAGGGAACGCUCUCAUUAAGCCAUCUGACUCAUUAUUCCAAAGUAAUACAUGUGGUUUCAGCUUCCAGUGUGUGUCGGGGAAUCUUACAUUCAUUCUGCUCUGAAAAUGAGGAUGAGCCAGGCCCCAAGCUCUUCCUGACCCUGGCGUCCCAGCUUUGUGGAUGGGGAAAUGGGCAGUGGAGAGACUGGGCACAGUGUGCAAGGUGUCAGAGGUGCCUCACUGACUUUCGGGAGAGAAAGUCAUGAGAGUCAGUGGUUCAACUUCAGGCACCCACUGCCCAACCAAGACGAUAGUGAGGGUACUGCCACCAUGGCCGAGACAAGUGGCUAGGCCUGGCCUUGACGGAGUAGCAGGGAAGAGAGGUGAAUUCCUCCUCCUAAUGAGAGAGAGAUGGAGAGCUGACUGCUUUACUGUAGGGGUAAGGAAAGAGAAAAGCAAAGGAAUUCCAGAAAAACAUCUGCUUCGUUGACUAUGCUAAAGCCUUUGACUGUAUGGUCACAGCAAACUGUGGAAAAUUCUUCAAGGGAUGGGAAUACCAGACCUCCUUACCUGUCUCCUGAGAAACCUGUAUGCAGGUCAAGAGGCAACAGUUAGAACUGGACAUGGAACAAUGGGCUGGUUCAAAAUUAGGAAAGAAUAUGUCAAGGCUGUAUAUUGUUACCCUGCUUAUUUAACUUAUUUGCAAAGCACAUCAUGUGAAAAGUCAGGAUGGAUGAAGGUCAAGCUGGAAUCAGGAUUGCCGGGAGAAAUAUCAAUAAGCUCAGAUAUGCAGAUGACACCACCCUAAUGGCAGAAAGUGAAGAGGAACUAAAGAGCCUCUUGAUAAAAGUGAAAGAGGAGAGUGAAAAAACUGGCUUAAAAUUUCAACCUUCAAAACACUAAGAUCAUGGCAUCCAGUCCCAUCACUUCAUGGCAAAAAGAAAACAAACAAACAAACAAACAAAAAAACC
ensembl:lncRNA